GUCUGUGUACGGCUCAUUAAACGGUUUAUUGUCUCCCCAACGAAGGAUGUGCAUUUGCCAGCCCUACGGGAUAACUUUGCUAACUGCAAAGCUAAUACCUGUAAGAAGAACCCCGUACUUUCCAAACGGGGAGAUGAACUUUGUUUGUCUUCCUGUAGUGCGGGGUGCGCUUCGCCGAAACAAAAACCAACGCCGUUUUCGGCAGCUGAUACUGUUGAGGCAGGCGAAUGUCGCGAAAGCGUUCGCAUGAACGCGCUGUUGGACGAAUUUACCACCUAUCAGGUUGACGGUAGUAUAGUUGACUACCGUGCCAGUGACGGGUAACGGAGAAUUGGGGUUCGAUUCCGGAGAGGGUGCCUGAGAAACGGCAACCAUCACUACGGUGAGCAGCAGGCGCGCAAAUUGCCCAAUGCUAAUUAUAGCGAGGCAGCGAGACGAAAAAUAAUAACUUUGAUGCACUUAAGUGUAUCAGAGAUUGCAAUGAACUGUAUCAGUACACACUGCUGAGUAUCAAUUGGAGGGCAAGUCUGGUGCCAGCAGCCGCGGUAAUUCCAGCUCCAAGAGCGUAUAUAAAUGUUGUUGCGGUUAAAAAGCCCGUAGUUGGAUUUGAGAUCAUUGCCUGUGAGUUCUGCUCCAGGGUUCUCCCUGGGAUCCAGAACCCACGCAACGACGAUGUUCUGUUGCAUGCGGGAAUGGACGUCUGCUGAUAGCCCUUUCGGGGGUCUGGAAGCAACUUCGGAGUCUUGACGCUCCAAAGAUGCGCCCGCAGUCGUCACUGUGAGUAAAUCAGAGUGUUCAAGGCAACUCUUUGUUGAGUUGAAUGUUAAAGCAUGGAAUGACAAGGGAUCGACCACUAAAGGCCUCUUUUUGUUGGUUUUUAACCUUCAGUGAGGCAAACUUGUGGAGGGGCCUUCCGCUUCAAGGACUUUGUCUCUUGUAAGUGGACCCCAGCACAUCCGGGAUCAACAGGAGCACAGGGGGUCAUGAGUACUGGAGGGUGAGCGGUGAAAUGCGGAGACCCCUCCAAGACUGACAUCAGCGAAAGCACUUGACUAUUGUGCUUUCAUUAAUCAAGGACGAGAGAUAGGGGAUCGAAGAGGAUUAGACACCCUCGUAGUCCCUUCUGUAAAUUCUGCAGACUUGGGAUCGGUCAGCGCUCUAUUCACUGACUUGAUCGGCACCUCCCCCUUGUAUCGAGAAAUCAAAGUCUUUGUGUUCCGGGGGGAGUACAUUCGCAAGGCUGAAACUUAAAGGAAUUGACGGAGAACCACCACCAGUCGUGGAUUGUGUGGCUUAAUUCGACCCAACACGGGAAAUUUUAGCUAUAUAGGACAUGGGCAGGAUUGCCAAGCUGAAGACUUUGCUUGAUUCCAUGAAGGGUGGUGCAUGGCCGCUUCUGGUUGGUGAAUGUGAUUUGUCUGAUUAAUUGAGAUAACGAACGAGAUCUCUGCCAAUUACUAGAUGCUGCUUUCGCUUGAAAGUUUGUGUGUGGUCAAGGUCUUUUGGCUUUUGGCCACGCAUGGCUGAGAAGGCGGACAUUUACUUAUUGGGAUUAUGCGGUCUAAAAACGCAUUGAAACGAGAGCCCAAAGCAGGUCUGUGAUGCUCCUAAAUGCGCUGGGCUGCACGCGCAAUACACUGACUUCGACAACGAGCUUUUGCCUUGCAACCUGGCCCGAAGGGGUUGGGGAAACUUUGAGCCGAAGUCGUGAUGGGGAUUGAUGCUUGAAAUUAUUCUCCAUGAACGAGGAAUGUCUUGUAGGCGCGUUUCAUCAGAACGCACCGAAUACGUCCCUGGUUCUUGUACACACCCCCCGUCGUUGCCUGUAAUGGGUUGUGA
rnacentral:rRNA from 1 species